GAACUCCGACAAGGUCCUCUGACUCUGAGUAAGGUAUUCAUUCCUGAGCAAGAGGGUCUGCAAAGUUGGAGCUGAGCUGAGUUGAGGACCUUGCAAUGAGUGUGACUUCUGGGUCCACAGGCUGCAGCUUCAGUAUGGAAACACAGGCUUCGAACAAGUGCACGCAAGUUCUUUUCAUUGGAAAGAAGCCUCUCUCAAUUUAGCUCACACAAAGGUCAAUGUAUCAUAAACAGUUGAGUUCACAGAAUCCAAAGGCAGGAAACGCAAUAUUGCCAAGCCCCUGGGAAUUUUACAGCUGACAGGAAAUGGGGUCUUUCUGUGGCUGUGUGAUCUUUCAUUUACGUUUCUCUCUUUGCUUCUCCUCCUGUUGUUUUUUUCCUCUGUAGUCUGACUUCCUCUGCUUACUCCUUGGCUUGUCCCUGACCUUCAAAGGGGUGCCCCAUCUCUGAGUCGUCAGGACAUUUCAUCCUGCCCUGCCCUGCCCUGCCCAGGGGAAACAAACAUUUCAGCACAGAGGUUAAGGGCACAGACUCUAGAGACAGAAUCCUUGAGAUUGACUCCCGAUUUCCCACUUACCUUCUCUGUGUUCCAGUUUCCUCAUCUAUAAAAUGAAGCUAAUAUCAGCCUCAACCUCAUAGGAUAUUGUGAGGAGUAAAUAAGAUAAUGACCUCAAAUACUCAGCACAGUGAUGGCACAUAGUACAAGCACAAUAAAUACAGCUGUGUUGUUGUUAUUGUUAUUACAGCAAUUCUGAUGUUUACAGUUCCUAUUUGAGUACUUCCAAGUCCUGAUUAGAAAUUCUCAGUGGAGAGAGCCAUUGGCUGAGCUAGAUUUGUGUCAUGAGGCCAUAGGUAACUAGGCUUUCUGUGAAUUGGCUGCCCUGAUUCAGUCAACUCAGGCUAGAGUGUGAGCUGUGGUGGAACAAACAGCAUGGCUUGACAAGAGGUGUGCAGGUCCGUGCCGGGAUCCAAACUGGUGAACCCCAGACUGCCAAAGUGGAGCCCCCGAACUUAACCACUACACCACUGGCCUGGCUCCUGUCUGCUGGCGUUUUAAAGAAAGUCUUGAUGGAAAAAGUCAUUCAGCCUGGACAGUGAAGGAUGGAUAGAGACUGACCAGCAAAGGUGAGUAAAGAGUAUAUUACAUACAGGUUGAGUAAAUAUCAUGAGUAAAUUUUCAGAGAUGGGAAAGCAUAGAGCCCAUUGGGAUCACAGUUAGCGUGGUCUGGUUUAUUUUGAGUAUAG
rnacentral:lncRNA from 1 species